UACAGAGGUCUCAAGCGUUGUUCGGAUUCAUUGGGCGUAAAGGGUGCGUAGGCGGCGCGGUAAGUCGGGUGUGAAAUCUCGGAGCUUAACUCCGAAACUGCAUUCGAUACUGCCGUGCUUGAGGACUGGAGAGGAGACUGGAAUUUACGGUGUAGCGGUGAAAUGCGUAGAUAUCGGGAGGAACACCGGUGGCGAAGGCGGUUCUCUGGGCCUGACCCGACGCUGAGGAGCGAAAGCGUGGGGAGCGAACAGG
rnacentral:rRNA from 1 species